CUCUCUCUCUCUCUCUCUCUCUGACGCAAUCUCAUGCCAUCUAUGGUCGCAAGUGUGGACUGUGAUUUUGUCACACCUUUCUCUCCUCCUCGCCCUCGACCUUCCGCCGCGCACCGAGCCCCACCUCCACAGCUUCCUCCAUGUGUCCGACGCCAUGCUAAGGGAGGCCGACGAGAUCGACAGGGAGAUUGAGCGGAACAAAAAGGUGGGCCCAUUGGCUGGAAGUUUUGGUUGCCGGACAUGCCGAUGAUGGUCGGGUCUAGGGUUCUGGAAGGGUAUCGGCCGCCGUGGCGAGUUGAGGGAGAGUGGGGCUAUUAUUUUUGGGAAGACUAAUUUGGAUGAUUUUAGGAUUGAGAGUAGUACAGAAGGUUCUGCAUACUAGGUAAAGAGUCUUCGAAAAAGAUUGUGAGGGAGUGCAGGAUUUGUCGAGAAGAAGAUGAAGAGCAUGAGAUGGGGGCUCCUUGUACCUGUAAUGGAACUCUAAAGACGGUUUUUUUCCUUCUUUUUUUUGCUAUUUGGUUAACAAAUUUGAUUAUGGGUCCUAUACCCUAGACGAGGACUGAUUUAAUUAUUUUUCUUGUCAAAGAAUAUAUAGUUUAGAAUGCUAUUUGGUUAACAAAUUUGAUUAUGGGUAAUAAGUUGAAUUAACGUAUUUAGUCUAUGGAGAUAUUUUUCCCCUAUGCACCGAUCCCCCUCCCCAAUUCUACUAGGAUAGAGUAGAUUAGGUUUAAUGAAUGACAAAAAAAAAAAGUAUUUAGUCUAUGGAGAUAUAUUUGUACCAGUGGUUUGAUGUUUGUCUGUUUUUUUGUUUUUUUAAGAAUGCCCUACUAGGUGAUUUUUAUUUUUCCUUUGGAUAUAGGCAUGUUUGGUUUCGAUAAGCUUUGUAUUUUUUUGGUUUACUUGCUAGAUAAUUGCUUUGUAUAGAUACUUUUUCAAAUGGGUUAGAAAAUAAGGGACUAAAUUUGAGCAUCAAUCAUCCUCUCAUGGGUUAGAGAUGUUCACCAAAAAUGAGUCUCCAAUGGAGCUUGAAUAUGAAAAUUUUGGGGAUUUCUCUGCGAAUUCGAUAUCUUAUUCGUGUUUAUUCGGAUUAGUGUAUUUUCCUUGAUAAUUUUGUGAUGGGUUGGGAUGUUUUGGUGCAUUCAUUACAGGGGGAAAUGCAAAAUUAGGGCACCCUAUUGGGAUGAGAUUUUUUAUUGUAGGCAUAGCCAUAAUGAAGCAAAGGUAACACAUUAGACACAGAUCCUGGACAUAGUUUGCAUGGGGAAGUACUUUUGCCAGAAAUGCAAAUUCUUCUACGAUGAUGCAAACAAAAGAAAGUUACGACUCAUGAAUAAGGAGAGACUGGGUAUGCACGGAAGUAGACGGAAUCAACAAAAUCCGUUAUUUUCUUUCACGGUACGGUUUGGGCAUUAUAAGAUUACAUUAUAAUUGUGACACUUAAAUAACAUUUGUGGUGGGAUUAAGAGCUGGAUGGGGUGCCCGUGAUGUGAAUCUUAAGCAAACAUUGACUACUAUUGUCUAUUUUGCCAAAUCAACGCAGGUUGCCAUGGAUCUCAUCCGUUUGAGCUUGG